UCCGUUCUGUGGAGAUAUCGGCGUUACUUAUCGACCAUUCGGACGGACCUCCACCAGCCCCUUGUUCGCCCUUUCUCGGGUUUCGCUUCUCACUUCACCCGUUUUCACAUUAGCGUUUCUCCCCCCGCCCCAGGAUCCUCAGGUACCAAUUCGAGGUUUCUCCCCCCACCCCGGGAUCCUCAGAUGGCUCCUCAAUAGUUGUGAUCAAUGUUUCGCUGGAGUCACUCACAUGAAACUCUGUUUCUGCCAUUUAAUCCAGUUUGGAUGUCCCGGUUACGUAAUGUAGUGAUGGCAACAGGCUUAUUAGCCUUUGCAGGUGCUGGCUUGUCAUUUCCCUUCUUCUUCGUGAAAUCAAAAAAUAAACCUGUAAUCGAUUCAUCAAAGCCUCUGCCACCACAGGCUACUUUUCGAGGGCCAUAUGUGAACACUGGAUCUCGUGAUAUUGGGCCAGACUCUUCCACCUAUCCAAAAACAUAAAUUGCUUGUCUGAUCACAGUCUCUUUUCACUUAUAGAGAAACCAUCUUCUGGGAAAAAUAUCUUGUGCUUUUCUGUAUUAAUAAUUUGAGAAAAUAUAUUCUUGUUAUUGUAGUGUCAUCAAUAGCUUUCUUCUUGUUCUCUAUUUGAUUUCUUUUUAUGCAUUAAUGUGAGAAUGGACAAGUUAACUAAUUAUGGAUUCAGGGAAAUCCUUUUCAUUGGAAUUAUUUCUGUAUGUGGUAUGGAUAUAUAGGAAGAAAAAGCUUCUUUUCUUGCAGACAUAUUAGCAUUGUCCAUGCCUCAAGCUUGGGCACUGAUUUUGCAUAUCUUGAUUAGGCUUUUAUCUCUAUGAUUUAAUUACUCCUCUGCUAGCUAGGCAAUGCGUGUACAUUGCAGGUAGACAGUUGCAUUUAAUUGUAAGGUAAUUCACAAAUUAUUGACUAUAUAUGGGAUAAUACUAAAAUUACAAAAAAGUGUUUAAACCAUGCGAUCACUCUGAUGGCCAUAGCUGCCUUUAUAAUGAACAUAAGUACAUCUUGUUAAUUGUCCCUCUAGUCUUUGAUUUAAUGGAUAAUAAUGUAUUGCGAAUAUGGACGGGAUAAUUAGCAAUAUCGUGAACAUAAGUUUUGUCCUAUCGGAUUUCCAAGGCAAAUUUACUUACCAAGCAGAACUCAGCAACAUCCUUGGAAGGUUUGUAUGACUUCAAGUAAAACUUGGGUGCAGGUUCUAACUUCUAUUUGAAUAUGUCUUUUUGAUGGCACUUCUGAUAUUGAAUGGGAAUUAUCUUCCUAUGCAAGUAUGUUGACAAUCCAAGUAUGCUGAGAAUACAUUAGUUGGCAACUUGGACAAAUUAGUCCACAAGUCACUAACGAUUAUGAUGACAUUGGACUGUGAACUAAAUAUAAAUAAUACAAACCAUAUAAAGAAAUCAGAAAUGACACCAUAUAACUUAAAUACAUCCUGAAUUGAAGUUAUAUGUAGUGAAUAAGCAUGUCAUAAAUGUGAAACAUUGUGAGGGGCAAUUUAGAACUCCGCUGAGUUGAAUAUCCAGAUUAGCGAGAAUGGCUAGGUUUCCAUAUUAGAUUGCUGAGUUUUUGAAUUGGAUCUGAAAUGGAAGCAACUAGGAACUUGCUUGAUUAAGUCUUUAUUGUGCAAUCCUCAAACUGGGUUAAUGUGUUCUAGAAAAUUCUUUAUGUAACAUAUGCAAACAAAAUUAUUUGCUGUUAUAUGGCUUUGAUUAUUAACCAGAAGAUCCAUUUAUUGCAACAUGUAACUCCUUGCAUGAAGCUUUCGUGAUAGGAAACAGGAAUAAUGUAGGAAUGAAUGAAACUGAACAUAAUCAGUAAGUCUUCAGCAUGUCUUACAGACAGAAGAUAUGGUGAUGGACACCAUACGUUCCUGGCAGGUCAUUUGUUAUUGUUCUUGUUCGUGUUGCUUUCUUUCUUUUCCUUUUUCUUUUCUUUUUCUUUUUUCACUGUAACUGCUUGGUUGUUUUUUUUUAUUAUUAUUCUUUUCAGUUAACAGCUGUUUCAACUUUGUCUCAGUUCUUUUUCUUUCUUGCUUGCUUUUUAUACUUUAAUUUUCUGCAUUGUAAAAUUUCAAAUUUGUUUUUCUGCUUGCUUUUCUUCUUCGAGAGUGUCGAUUGGUGUAGUUAGCCACUUAGCCUCCUGUAAACCGUGUCGAACGACAUGUGAACCUGGCUCGUUCCUACGCCUGCUUGAACCAAAGCUUGUCAACCUUGUCUGCUUAACAAAACGCGGUGCCGACGGUCUUUAUUUGUAAAAACUAAGCUGUGAUUUCUCUCAUUUUGGUAAAAAUUUGAUGUUUGUGGUCUUUUUGUAGGAAGAGAAGGAAGGCAAGUUUUGGAAACGGGUUUGAGUUUUAGUUGCGAAGCAUCUGUUUGACA